UUAAGCAUAUUAAUUAGGGGAGGAAAAGAAACUAACAAGGAUUUUCUUAGUAGCGGCGAGCGAAAAGAAAUCAGUUCAGCACUAAGUCACUUUGUCUAUAUGGCAAAUGUGAGAUGCAGUGUAUGGAGCGUCAAUAUUCUAGUAUGAGAAAUUAACGAUUUAAGUCCUUCUUAAAUGAGGCCAUUUACCCAUAGAGGGUGCCAGGCCCGUAUAACGUUAAUGAUUACUAGAUGAUGUUUCCAAAGAGUCGUGUUGCUUGAUAGUGCAGCACUAAGUGGGUGGUAAACUCCAUCUAAAACUAAAUAUAACCAUGAGACCGAUAGUAAACAAGUACCGUGAGGGAAAGUUGAAAAGAACUCUGAAUAGAGAGUUAAAUAGUACGUGAAACUGCUUAGAGGUUAAGCCCGAUGAACCUGAAUAUCCGUUAUGGAAAUUCAUCAUUAAAGUUAUAAUAUUUAAACAAUAUUAUACAAAUAAUGUGCAUUUUUUCCAUAUAAGGACAUUGUAAUCUAUUAACAUAUUAAAUUUAUCAUAAAAUAUGGCUUAUAGUUUAUUCAAAUUAUUAUGCUUGCAUUUUAACAUAGAAUAAAUGUCAUUAAUUUGAUAAAGUGUUGAUAGACUAAUAAGAAUACAGUGCGUUAAUUUUUCGGAAUUAUAUAAUGGCAUAAUUAUCAUUGAUUUUUGUGUUUAUUAUAAGCACUUGUAUGAUUAACAAUGCGAAAGAUUCAGGAUACCUUCGGGACCCGUCUUGAAACACGGACCAAGGAGUCUAACAUAUGUGCAAGUUAUUGGGAUAUAAACCUAAUAGCGUAAUUAACUUGACUAAUAAUGGGAUUAGUUUUUUAACUAUUUUAUAGCUAAUUAACACAAUCCCGGGGCGUUCUAUAUAGUUAUGUAUAAUAAUAUUUAUAUUAUUUAUGCCUCUAACUGGAACGUACCUUGAGCAGAUAUGCUGUGACCCGAAAGAUGGUGAACUAUACUUGAUCAGGUUGAAGUCAGGGGAAACCCUGAUGGAAGACCGAAACAGUUCUGACGUGCAAAUCGAUUGUCAGAAUUGAGUAUAGGGGCGAAAGACCAAUCGAACCAUCUAGUAGCUGGUUCCUUCCGAAGUUUCCCUCAGGAUAGCUGGUGCAUUUUAAUGUUAUAUAAAAUAAUCUUAUCUGGUAAAGCGAAUGAUUAGAGGCCUUAGGGUCGAAACGAUCUUAACCUAUUCUCAAACUUUAAAUGGGUAAGAACCUUAACUUUCUUGAUAUGAAGUUUAAGGUUAUGAUAUAUUGUGCCCAGUGGGCCACUUUUGGUAAGCAGAACUGGCGCUGUGGGAUGAACCAAACGUAAUGUUACGGUGCCCAAAUUAACAACUCAUGCAGAAACCAUGAAAGGCGUUGGUUGCUUAAAACAGCAGGACGGUGAUCAUGGAAGUCGAAAUCCGCUAAGGAGUGUGUAACAACUCACCUGCCGAAGCAACUAGCCCUUAAAAUGGAUGGCGCUUAAGUUGUAUACCUAUACAUUACCGCUAAAGUAGAUGAUUUAUAUUACUUGUAAUAUAAAUUUUGAAACUUUAGUGAGUAGGAAGGUACAAUGGUAUGCGUAGAAGUGUUUGGCGUAAGCCUGCAUGGAGCUGCUAUUGGUACAGAUCUUGGUGGUAGUAGCAAAUAAUCGAAUGAGACCUUGGAGGACUGAAGUGGAGAAGGGUUUCGUGUGAACAGUGGUUGAUCACGAGUUAGUCGGUCCUAAGUUCAAGGCGAAAGCCGAAAAUUUUCAAGUAAAAAUAAAAUUUACUAUAUGUAAAAAUUAUAUACUUGAAUAAUUUUGAACGAAAGGGAAUACGGUUCCAAUUCCGUAACCUGUUGAGUAUCCGUUUGUUAUUAAAUAUGGGCCUCGUGCUCAUCCUGGCAACAGGAACGACCAUAAAGAAGCCGUCGAGAGAUAUCGGAAGAGUUUUCUUUUCUGUUUUAUAGUCGUACUACCAUGGAAGUCUUUCGCAGAGAGAUAUGGUAGAUGGGCUAGAAGAGCAUGACAUAUACUGUUGUGUCGAUAUUUUCUCCUCGGACCUUGAAAAUUUAUGGUGGGGAUACGCAAACUUCUCAACAGGCCGUACCAAUAUCCGCAGCUGGUCUCCAAGGUGAAGAGUCUCUAGUCGAUAGAAUAAUGUAGGUAAGGGAAGUCGGCAAAUUAGAUCCGUAAAUAGAGUUUCGAUCAUUUAUGGUUUGUAACUUGUUCCCCGGAUAGUUAGUACGUAUCCAAUUGUGGAACUUUCUUGCUAAAUUUUUAAGAAUACUAGUUGGUCAAACCAAUUAGUUCUUAUUAAUUAUAACGAUUAUCAAUUAACAAUCAAUUCAGAAACUGGCACGGACUUGGGGAAUCCGACUGUCUAAUUAAAACAAAGCUUGUGAUGGCCCUAGCGGGUGUUGACACAAUGUGAUUUCUGCCCAGUGCUCUGAAGUCAAGUGAAGAAAUUCAAGUAAGCGCGGGUCAACGGCGGGAGUAACUAUGACUCUCUUAAGGUAGCCAAAUGCCUCGUCAUCUAAUUAGUGACACGCAUGAAUGGAUUAACGAGAUUCCUACUGUCCCUAUCUACUAUCUAGCGAAACCACAGCCAAGGGAACGGCUUGGAAUAAUUAGCGGGGAAAGAGACCCUUUUGAGCUUGACUCUAAUCUGGCAGUGUAAGGAGACAUAAGAGUUAGAAUAAGUGGGAGAUAUUAGACUUCGGUUUGGUAUCGCCAAUGAAUACCACUACUUUAUUGUUUCCUUACUUACUUGAUUAAAUGGAACGUUAUCAUUUCCAGCCAUUAUACGGAUAUAUUUAUUAUAUCUUAUGGUAUUGGGUUUUGAUGCAAGCUUCUUGAUCAAAGUAUCACGAGUUUGUUAUAUAAUCGCAAACAAAUUCUUUAAUGAGAGAUGCAUUUACUGUAUUAUUGAUUUGAAAAUUUGUAUAACUCCAAUUACUCAGGUAUGAUCCAAUUCAAGACAUUGCCAGGUAGGGAGUUUUGACUGGGCGGUACAUCUCUCAAAUAAUAACGGAGGUGUCCCAAGGCAGCUCAGUGCGGACA
rnacentral:rRNA from 1 species